ACCCAGGCAGGCGUGCCCUCGGCCUAAUGGCUUCGGGCGCAACUUGCGUUCAAAGACUCGAUGGUUCACGGGAUUCUGCAAUUCACACCAAGUAUCGCAUUUCGCUGCGUUCUUCAUCGAUGCGUGUCAGUCAACAG
rnacentral:rRNA from 1 species